GAACGGCCGAUCAUUUCCCGCUGUACCGUGAAAUUGAAUUAAAAAUAUAUUAACCAUCACUGAUGAUUCAAUAUCGUUCGGCGACUAUCAUCGAGCUAUAUCACCAACGGGAUACAAUAAAAAAUUAAACAGGAAAAAAAUGCGAGCAGCAUUAGUUACAGCGGCUUCAGUGAGUAUAGCCGGUUGCAUCAUUGGCGACUGAAAUCUACGUUUAUGAAUCCCGGUCUGAAUAGCAGUUAACGCACUUAACAAUACCACUAAUAAUUUUAAUUUUAAUUCGAACACAAAUUGAACUAAAAUCAAAUUGAAAUCAUUUUGAAACAAAAAUAAAAUUGUAUUAAUUUUUUUUUUUUUUUCUAAAUUUCAAAUAAAUUUUAAUUGCAUUAAAUUGAAAUUAAUUUAAAAUCAAAUUGAAAUUAAAUUAAAGCUAAAUUGAAUUUAAUUAAAACUAUACAGUCGCGAUUCGCUGGUUGGGCCACGACCUCGGCCCAACUAACGAAUUCGGUUUUUUAGUUGGGUCAACUGACAGCCAUUUGAACACGUGUAUUUCGACGUGAACAUCACAAAUGAUGUCCAGUGACGCCCAAUCCCGUUUUUCGUGUUUACAUUGAAUUUUGACGUACGGUUGCUUUUUAGUUGGGCCAUUGCCCAACCAGCGGAGACCCAACUAAAAAGUGACCCAAGUAUUAAGAUCCCAACCAGCGAAUCCCGACUGUAGUAGAAUUAUCUUAAAAAUAUAUUAAAAAUGAAACAAAAUUUAAAUUUACUGAUUACAAAUAAAAUUUAAAACUAAAUUGAAAUACCUAGUACCAAUAAAAUAAAUUGUACAACAUUAAAUUGAAUUGUAUUUUUAUUGUAAUAUUGAAGUCGAGAUUGAAGUGAAAUUUAUUUAAAAUCCCAUUGUAUUUCUACUGUAAAACAAUAAAAAAAAAUUGAGAAAAAACAUUUGAAACACAUUGUUUUCUAUUGUUUUGGCCUUCGAAAUCAUCCCAUUGAAGAACCGUUAAAUCAAUUGUUUUGCUCUGAAUUUUGUAUGAAAAUUUUUCGAUUUUUUUAUUGUAAAGAUACAUAACAACCCCCCUUUUUUAUUGUAAAAGUCCCAUUUACCAUUCAUUUAAUCGUGGAAAACAAUUGUCUCUGAUGUGAUUUAGUUGUUAAAAUUCCAUUACAUUCAAUGGUAAUUUCUAUGUUUUACAUGGUGAUGUAACAGUAAAAUUUAUAAUAUUCUAAUCAUAUUUUUUAUCCGGGA